UGGCGGCGUGUUAAGGCAUGCAGUCGAACGAUCUACUUCGGUAGAGAGUGGCAAACGGGUGAGUCACACACUGGUAACCUNCCCCCUUCACGUGCAUNACUCCGAGUAAAUCGGAGCUAAUACACGAUAGUCUUUACUAGCAUAUGUUAGUAAAGUAAAGCUCCGGCGGAAGGGGAGGGGCCUAUGGCUUAUCAGCUUGUUGGUAGGGUAAAAGCCUACCAAGGCUAUGACGAGUAGCGGGUGUGAGAGCAUGGCCCGUCACAAUGGAACUGAGACACUGUCCAUACUCCUACGGGAGGCUGCAGUCAAGAAUCUUUCCCAAUGCGCGCAAGCGUGAGGGAGCGACGCCGCGUGAAUGAUGAAGCCCUUCGGGGUGUAAAGUUCUUUUAUCUGGGACGAACUAAUGACGGUACCAGAUGAAUAAGGGGCUGCUAAACUCGUGCCAGCAGCAGCGGUAAUACGAGUGCCCCAAGCGUUAUCCGGAUUUAUUGGGCGUAAAGCGUCCGCAGGCGGUUUGCUAAGUUAGCGGUUAAAGACCGGAGCUCAACUCCGGGCCAGCCGCUGAUACUGGCAGACUUGAGACUGGGAGAGGCAAGCGGAAUUGCCGGUGUAGUAGUAAAAUGCGUUAAUAUCGGCAAGAACACCAAAGGCGAAGGCAGCUUGCUGGAACAGUUCUGACGCUCAGGGACGAAAGCGUGGGGAGCGAAGCGGAUUAGAUACCCGCGUAGUCCACGCUGUAAACGAUGGGUACUAGACAUUGGGAGUAUCGACCCUCUCAGUGUCGUUUAUCGUAGCUAACGCGUUAAGUACCCCGCCUGGGGAGUACGGCCGCAAGGCUAAAACUCAAAGGAAUUGACGGGGACCGCACAAGCGGUGGAGCAUGUGGUUUAAUUCGACAAUAAGCGGAGAACCUUACGAAGGCUUGACAUCUAGCUGCAAAUCGGGGAAACUCGGACUUCUCGAAAGUGCUAAACAGGUGCUGCAUGGUUGUCGUCAGCUCGUGCCGUGAGGUGUACGGUUAAGUCCGGAAACGACGC
rnacentral:rRNA from 1 species